rnacentral:rRNA from 1 species
GGGCCCGCACAAGCGGUGGAGCAUGUGGUUUAAUUCGAUGCAACGCGAAGAACCUUACCUACCCUUGACAUACAGCGAAUCCUAAAGAGAUUUGGGGUGCCGAAAGGAGCGCUGAUACAGGUGCUGCAUGGCUGUCGUCAGCUCGUGUCGUGAGAUGUUGGUUAAGUCCCGUAACGAGCGCAACCCUUAUUCUUAGUUACCAGCGGGUAAAGCCGGGGACUCUAAAGAAACUGCCUACGCAAGUAGUGAGGAAGGCGGGGACGACGUCAAGUCAUCACGGCCCUUACGUCCUGGGCCACACACGUGCUACAAUGGUAGGUACAGAGGGCAGCUACUGGGUGACCAGAUGCG